rnacentral:lncRNA from 1 species
CCUAUGAUAUUAUCUUUCUAAUUUUAAUGCCUAAUUAUAUUUUUUAUCCAAUUUCACGGUCCAUUGAACAUGGAAAAUGAUAGUGGGAGUGGGGCAUCCGUGUACUUUGGACACAUUCUUGUUUUAAUACAAAUUUAAGUGGUUUUUGUAUAUCCUAUAUAUUUCCCAGCCAUUAAUAUUUAUAUAUAUAACUGUAAAACAAACAAUUUCUAUUAUUUUGGAAAACAAAUUAUUCACCAUAAAAUCUUGACGACUACUUACAAUGCUUGAAAGACAUAUCAGUUAAAUAUUCACACGCACA